UUAAGUUAGAAAGGGCGCACGGUGAAUGCCUUGGCACUAGGAGCCGAUGAAGGACGGGACUAACACCGAUAUGCUUCGGGGAGCUGUAAGUGAGCUUUGAUCCGGAGAUUUCCGAAUGGGGAAACCCACUGUUCGUAAUGGAACAGUAUCUUUAUCUGAAUACAUAGGAUAUUGAAGGCAGACCCGGGGAACUGAAACAUCUAAGUACCCGGAGGAAGAGAAAGCAAAUGCGAUUUCCUGAGUAGCGGCGAGCGAAACGGAAUUAGCCCAAACCAAGAGGCUUGCCUCUUGGGGUUGUAGGACACUCUAUACGGAGUUACAAAGGAACGAAGUAAAUGAAGCGACCUGGAAAGGUCCGUCGAAGAAGGUAACAACCCUGUAGUUGAAACUUCGUUCCCUCUUGAGUGGAUCCUGAGUACGGCGGAACACGUGAAAUUCCGUCGGAAGCUGGGAGGACCAUCUCCCAAGGCUAAAUACUACCUAGUGACCGAUAGUGAACCAGUACCGUGAGGGAAAGGUGAAAAGCACCCCGGAAGGGGAGUGAAAGAGAUCCUGAAACCGUGUGCCUACAAGUAGUCAGAGCCCGUUAACGGGUGAUGGCGUGCCUUUUGUAGAAUGAACCGGCGAGUUACGAUCCCAUGCAAGGUUAAGCUGAUAAGGCGGAGCCGUAGCGAAAGCGAGUCUGAAUAGGGCGUUUAGUAUGUGGUUGUAGACCCGAAACCAGGUGAUCUACCCAUGUCCAGGGUGAAGUUCAGGUAACACUGAAUGGAGGCCCGAACCCACGCACGUUGAAAAGUGCGGGGAUGAGGUGUGGGUAGCGGAGAAAUUCCAAUCGAACCUGGAGAUAGCUGGUUCUCUCCGAAAUAGCUUUAGGGCUAGCCUCAUGUUGUGAGAGUCUUGGAGGUAGAGCACUGAUUGGACUAGGGGCCCCCAACGGGUUACCGAAUUCAGUCAAACUCCGAAUGCCAAAGACUUAUCCAUGGGAGUCAGACUGCGAGUGAUAAGAUCCGUAGUCAAAAGGGAAACAGCCCAGACCACCAGCUAAGGUCCCCAAGUAUACGUUAAGUGGAAAAGGAUGUGGAGUUGCUUAGACAACCAGGAUGUUGGCUUAGAAGCAGCCACCAUUUAAAGAGUGCGUAAUAGCUCACUGGUCGAGUGACUCUGCGCCGAAAAUGUACCGGGGCUAAACGUAUCACCGAAGCUGUGGAUUGACAUCUUAGAUGUCAGUGGUAGGAGAGCGUUCUAAGUGCUGUGAAGUCAGACCGUAAGGACUGGUGGAGCGCUUAGAAGUGAGAAUGCCGGUAUGAGUAGCGAAAGACAAGUGAGAAUCUUGUCCACCGAAUGCCUAAGGUUUCCUGAGGAAGGCUCGUCCGCUCAGGGUUAGUCGGGACCUAAGCCGAGGCUGAAAAGCGUAGGCGAUGGCCAACAGGUUGAUAUUCCUGUACCACCUCCCCGCCGUUUGAGUAAUGGGGGGACGCAGUAGGAUAGGGUAAGCGCGCUGCUGGAUAUGCGCGUUCAAGCAGUUAGGCUGAUGAGUAGGCAAAUCCGCUCAUCAUAAAGGCUGAGCUGUGAUGACGAGGGAAUUAUAGUACCGAAGUUCCUGAUUCCACACUGCCAAGAAAAGCCUCUAGCGAGGCGGGAGGUGCCCGUACCGCAAACCGACACAGGUAGGCGAGGAGAGAAUCCUAAGGUGAUCGAGAGAACUCUCGUUAAGGAACUCGGCAAAAUGACCCCGUAACUUCGGGAGAAGGGGUGCUCUGGUAGGGUGUAUAGCCCGAGAGAGCCGCAGUGAAUAGGCCCAGGCGACUGUUUAGCAAAAACACAGGUCUCUGCGAAGCCGCAAGGCGAAGUAUAGGGGCUGACGCCUGCCCGGUGCUGGAAGGUUAAGAGGAGGGGUUAUCCUUUGGGAGAAGCUCUGAAUCGAAGCCCCAGUAAACGGCGGCCGUAACUAUAACGGUCCUAAGGUAGCGAAAUUCCUUGUCGGGUAAGUUCCGACCCGCACGAAAGGCGUAACGAUCUGGGCACUGUCUCAACGAGAGACUCGGUGAAAUUAUAGUACCUGUGAAGAUGCAGGUUACCCGCGACAGGACGGAAAGACCCCGUGGAGCUUUACUGUAGCCUGAUAUUGAAUUUUGGUACAGCUUGUACAGGAUAGGUAGGAGCCUGAGAAGCCGGAGCGCUAGCUUCGGUGGAGGCGUCGGUGGGAUACUACCCUGGCUGUAUUGAAAUUCUAACCCGCGGCCCUGAUCGGGCCGGGAGACAGUGUCAGGUGGGCAGUUUGACUGGGGCGGUCGCCUCCUAAAAUGUAACGGAGGCGCCCAAAGGUUCCCUCAGAAUGGUUGGAAAUCAUUCGUAGAGUGUAAAGGCACAAGGGAGCUUGACUGCGAGACCUACAAGUCGAGCAGGGACGAAAGUCGGGCUUAGUGAUCCGGUGGUUCCGCAUGGAAGGGCCAUCGCUCAACGGAUAAAAGCUACCCCGGGGAUAACAGGCUUAUCUCCCCCAAGAGUCCACAUCGACGGGGAGGUUUGGCACCUCGAUGUCGGCUCAUCGCAUCCUGGGGCUGUAGUCGGUCCCAAGGGUUGGGCUGUUCGCCCAUUAAAGCGGUACGCGAGCUGGGUUCAGAACGUCGUGAGACAGUUCGGUCCCUAUCCGUCGUGGGCGUAGGAAAUUUGAGAGGAGCUGUCCUUAGUACGAGAGGACCGGGAUGGACACACCGCUGGUGUACCAGUUGUCUUGCCAAAGGCAUCGCUGGGUAGCUAUGUGUGGACGGGAUAAGUGCUGAAAGCAUCUAAGCAUGAAGCCCCCCUCAAGAUGAGAUUUCCCAUAGCGCAAGCUAGUAAGAUCCCUGAAAGAUGAUCAGGUUGAUAGGUCAGAGGUGGAAGCGUGGCGACAUGUGUAGCUGACUGAUACUAAUCGAUCGAGGACUUAACC
rnacentral:rRNA from 1 species